AAAAAGGAGAUAUUAUUUCCCGUUCGGAGCUAUGUCAAUAAAGAAGGAAGAUAAUGCAGACUGAGUACUUAGCCUAGCUCCUGGCUCAAAGCAACAUUUAGUAAAGUUAGAAAUAGUAAUAUGAGGUAAGUAGUCAUAAUGAUGAUGCUAAUAGUAUUGGUUUCAUACAUAAGGGUGUGCACAUGUGUGUGUGGUGGGGGCAGAGACAUGGACUCAGAAAGAGGUGGUGAAGUCUGGAUUUCUUGAGUUGAAAAUGUUUUGCAACCAUAACUUCAUUUAACCUUGCAAAGGAGGCAUAGAGAGGUGAAGUGACUUCUCUAAGAUUGCCCCACCUAAGAAGGAGCAGAAUUAGGCUCCACAUGCAAAGCUGCCUAACGUGGGCCUUGUACCCUUUCUGCGAGUCAUCGUCUCACUUCCUGACCUAGCCUUCUGCCCCUAAAUCUUGCAAACUCAGUGACAAAGCCAUGGUCUCAUUCCACCUAACUUGUUCCAGAUUGCUAUCUCUAGGAAUUAUUAAAUAGGCAGCAAUGAUGGUGGCUUUUACUACCUGACCUCAGAAAGCAAAAGUAUCAGUCAUUGUGUCUAACCAAAUAUUAUUAUCGACGUCAGGUAGACCUGAAUUGAGCUCUCAGACCUAAUAGCUUUCCUUGAGCCAUGUGUGGACCUUCCUGAAGCUUGGACCAUGAAAGAGUGCUCAAUUUCUGGCAACUGACUUUGGCAGGGAGAGUAGUAAAAGGGUUUGUUGUUGUUCAUCAAAGGAGAAUUCCACACUUGGUUUCACUAGUUCCUCUAUUAGAGGCUAAGCUGUGAACAGACCAGAGAAGAAACAUCAGUCGAAGUUCAGCAGCAAUGAUCCCUUUUGGACAAAGGCAGACAGAACCCAAAGGGAAAGAGAAGGAAUGAGAAGCUUACCUUUCAGCACUGUUGGCAUGCAAGCAGCAGGAAGGGCAGGACCGAUGGCAGCCCGUGGGAACCAUGUUGCCAAUGCAGGUUCAGAGAGAAUGUGAAAGGAAUUAAGUCAUCCUUGGUACCUCAUUGCACCCAUAGGUCCUGAGAUAGGUUAGGGAACCAGAGUGGGGAGCUGCAAUUCAUUCUAAGUGCAUUGGACCCCUUUGGAGGCACAUUUACCGUGAAGUCAGAAACUUCAGGAUUACCAGUGGCCUGGGGGAAUCCAGACCCUCCCUUCUCCACCUGAAUUUCUAGCAUAAGGAGGGCCUCCAUAACAACCAAGUGUAAUCUCUAGUUCUCAGCCGGAGACUGGAUGUUAAUUCUGGGAAAGGAAGACAUCUUACCCACCCCGCACCAUAUUUUUCUCAUCUAAAACCCACCAAUGAAUACACACAGUCUAACCCAGGUGUGCGUUCUAGAGCAAAGGCUCCUAGAUUGUGGUAGGUCAUUGAUCUUACUGAAAAUCGGACCAAAGCUAUUUCCCAGAACACCACACAGGUGUUCUCUUUCUCUUUCUCUCUGACAGCACACCCAGUUUUAGACCCGAUGGUAGAGGCUUGUCGGCUUCCUCGAAGUCCAUCCAGUUGUACCCUUCCUACCCCCUGCAGUCUGAAGGUUCUGGAUGAAGAGGUCAUGUUUGAAUUGAGAGCCUCUGAAUGUGCCCCCGGUUGAAUGUGAUAGUCAGCAGUUUUGCCUGUCUCUUUCAUUCGCUUCCUUCUCUAGGUUGAAGGGCUCCCCAUUUAUGUAGGGAGAAGGGGAUAUGACUUACAGUUGACUGGAAGGGGCAGCAGAGCCAGGAGCCAGUGAAUCAACAUGGAAAAUGCAAGGAAGAGAGUAGAAUUAAUAUUAACAUAACCCAUCUCUGUUAAUUUUUACAUGCAUUUCUUUAUUCCUUCAUGGAACAUUUAUUUGCCUGUUGUUAUAUGGAGUGCGAUCUGUAUAUGGGACACUAUUUUUAUGUAGUUUGUCACAUCCAUUUGACAAAGAUCAGUACAGCGGUAGCAUUGCAGUGGCACGAGUGUUGGAAACCCUUUAACUUUGCAGUUUCAGAAAUUGAUCAUAUAUAUAUAUUUACAUAAACACAUAAAUGUGUAUGUGUACGUAUGCACACACACCAUGGACCCUUGAACAAUGCAGGUUUGAACUACACGGUUACACUUAUACUUAUCCACUUAGAUGUGGAUUUUCUUCUGCCUCUGCCACCCGAGACAGAAAGACCAACCCCUCCCCUUCCUCCUCCUGCUCAGCCUACUCAUUGUGAAGAUGACAAGGAUGAAGACCUUGACAGUGACCCACUUCCCCUUAAUGAAGGGAUGACACAACAAGAAGGCUCUCACAAGAUGCCAACCCCUCAAUCUUGGACUUCCCAGCCUCCAGAAACAUGAGCCAAUAAAUUUCUAUUCAUUAUAAA